rnacentral:rRNA from 1 species
GAUCAUGGCUCAGGACGAACGCUGGCGGCGUGCCUAAUACAUGCAAGUAGAACGCUGAAGGAGGAGCUUGCUUCUCCGGAUGAGUUGCGAACGGGUGAGUAACGCGUAGGUAACCUGCCUGGUAGCGGGGGAUAACUAUUGGAAACGACAGCUAAUACCGCAUAAGAGUAGAUGUUGCAUGACAUUUACUUAAAAGGUGCAAUUGCAUCACUACCAGAUGGACCUGCGUUG